GUCUACGUCCAUGCUACCCUGAACAAGCCUGAUCCCAUCUGAUCUUGGAAGCUAAGCAGGGUUGGGCCUGUUUAGUACUUGGAUAGGAGACCACCUAGGAAGACUAGGUGCUGUAGGUG
rnacentral:rRNA from 1 species